UACGUAGGGACCAAGCGUUGUCCGGAAUCAUUGGGCGUAAAGCGCGCGUAGGCGGCCCUGUAAGUCCGUUGUGAAAGUCAAAGGCUCAACCUUUGAAAGCCGAUGGAUACUGCAGGGCUAGAGUCCGGAAGAGGCGAGUGGAAUUCCCGGUGUAGCGGUGAAAUGCGUAGAUAUCGCUUGGAACGCCAACGGUGAAAACAGCUCGCUGGGGGUGUGCUGACGCUGAGACACGAAAGCCAGGGGAGCGAACGGG
rnacentral:rRNA from 1 species